rnacentral:rRNA from 1 species
UACAAAAACAUAACCUUUAGUCACCAACAAAUAUUAAAGGCAACGCCUGCCCAGUGAAUAAUUAAACGGCCGCGGUACCCUAACCGUGCAAAGGUAGCAUAAUCAUUUGUCUAUUAAUUGUAGACCAGCAUGAAAGGCAAAAUGAGGGUUUAACUGUCUCUUAUAGUAAAUCAAUUAAACUGAUCUCCUAGUAAAAAAGCUAGAAUAUUCCCAUAAGACCAGAAGACCCUGUGAAGCUUAAACUAAACUACUAAACCACAUAGUAACUACUUUCGGUUGGGGCGACCUUGGAAAAAAAAAGAACUUCCAAACCAAUGACCAUAAAUCAUUACAUUAGGCCCACAAGCCACCACCUAGACCCAGCACAGCUGAUAAUUGAACCAAGUUACUCCAGGGAUAACAGCGCCAUCUUCUUCAAGAGUCCAUAUCAAAAAGAAGGUUUACGACCUCGAUGUUGGAUCAGGACAUCCUAAUGGUGCAGCCGCUAUUAAGGGUUCGUUUGUUCAACGAUUAACAGUCCYACGUGAUCUGAG